UACGUAGGGUGCAAGCGUUGUCCGGAAUUAUUGGGCGUAAAGGGCUCGUAGGUGGCCUGUCGCGUCGGCUGUGAAAACUCGGGGCUCAACUCCGAGCUUGCAGUCGAUACGGGCAGGCUAGAGUUCGGCAGGGGAGACUGGAAUUCCUGGUGUAGCGGUGAAAUGCGCAGAUAUCAGGAGGAACACCGGUGGCGAAGGCGGGUCUCUGGGCCGAUACUGACGCUGAGGAGCGAAAGCGUGGGGAGCGAACAGG
rnacentral:rRNA from 1 species